UGUCAUGUGCCUCCACCUCCAUUGCUCCUCCUAUCAUUCCAAAGCUUUGCAAACAAGCUUUUGCCAGCCAAAUGCCAUCAUCACACUUUGUUUGACCGAAACAAAUGAAAAGUAGUCUCCAACUGAAGACAAGAGUUAAAGGGGGAAAGUAAGGGGCCACAGAGAAAGAAGAGACCCAGAUAGUGUGUUAACUUGAGGGAAAGUGCAGUGAAGUGCUUGGAGACGAAAGCAGGGGAAAGCUAUGGAAGGUGGUUGCUCAAACAAUACAGAUAUUGAAAUUUCCUUAGGACCGAAGGCCUCCGAGUUGGGAGCAUUACAGAAAGAGCAUGAAGAGAAGAUUUCCAAAAUUGAAGAGCUCAAGAGACAGAUUGAAUCGACAAAGCACCGGUUGGAAAAGAAAAAGAAGGAGGUCACAGAAGAGCAAAUGGCAGGUUUCAAUACCUUAAGCAAGAAAUAUAACAGUCUGAGUGAGGAAUACAAUGCAAUACUAUUGCUAGCUGAAAAAUCAAGGGAAACUAAGUAACUUUACCUCUCAAAUUAGUAACAACAUUGGUCCUUGAACAUAUAGUUUCUGACUUGCAGUGAGUGUUCAAACAACAGUUAAGGAUAUAUCUUAUCAAAGCUAUGAACAUAUGUAAUCAAAGUUAACAAUUGCUUCUCCAUGUCCAUAACAAUAUGUGUGUGGACAUGUUUAGGACUUUAGGCCUAUCUGGGGUCCCUCCCAAUAGGUACAUGUUUAAUCAAAUUCUGAUUAAGAAUUUUAUGCAUUAUCUACUAUUGCUGCAGUACCACCAUCUGAUGGCCAUCCAAUCCACUCUCUGAUAUCACCACUUCCAAAUCCUUUCAGG